GAUCUUGCUAUAUCGUUCAUCGAAAUCGUAAAACCGUGCAUGUGUUUUAGGUCAACAUGCUACAAAUAUAUACUAUAUGUCGACAAAUUCAAAUCAGUUAUCUAUAAGAUUCAUAAUUUAAAUUUCACAAAGCCUUCAUGCAAUUUGACGUCAUAGUUAGGAGAAUUUGCGCAUUCGACAUUCUCGAAUAUCUCAAGAAAGAAACGAGUCAAGAUCGCUUGCCAAAGUAUUUUUCUAUAGUCAUUUUGAAUUUUCUCUACAAUUCAAUCAUAAAUCUGAUGAAACGACAUGCAAGUCUUCCAGGCAUGUUUUAAACUGCGAGGCAUAUGGAAAAGAUGGAGUUAUAUAAAUUCGAUCAAAAUAUACGAAAUGUAAAAAAUGUUAAAUAGUGUCAUUUGAAAACGAUUGAUAAUGUGGUUUAUUUCUAAUAUACAGCUCAACAUAAAUAUAUUACACCUCAUAUGCAGCAGUUGAAACGUGCUAUGACUUGCGUGUCGUUUGAUUAUUACAAGUUAUUGUUACAAGUACUUUCCGUUGAUUUUUUUUUUAAAUUUCGAAAAAGUUUUUUGUGGUUUUCACAUAUGCUUCUUAUUAAUCUUUUUGCUUAUUUAAUAUGACCUUAUUGCUUGUUAUUACUAGAGGGGGGUAACGGGGUAUUUUCGUGCUGCGUAUUGGGGUAAUUUAAUUAUUCGUUCUUCGUUCAGUCAUCUUUUUAUUAAACGUUUUUCGAUCCCGACAUGGAUGCCGUGUAUCGUGCUUGCGGUGUAUUCAAUAUCCGUUCUCCGUUUUCAGCUGUAUUUAAAGACGGUUAUUUCUCGUUUCUGGGCAAUAUAUUCCAUUAAUUUUGUUUCUGGAUUUUACCUAUGUUUUGAUUGGGGAACGGAGGUUUCAAAGUUUAUAUAAAUCAACAUAUUUAAUCUAAAACCGAGCACAUAUAUAUAGCUAGACAUAGAUGCAGCUGGUCAAACAAUAACGAUUUCUGAGAUUGGGGUUAAAUCUAGUUUAAUUCAUUGGUGUAAAAUCUUGUCUUCGUUUAAGUAAUAAAGUUG
rnacentral:lncRNA from 1 species